UCUCUGUUUUUCUUUUGAAACCCUAAAUCCAACCUUCCCCUUCUUUUUUUCAUUGAUAGCCAACUCACUCCUCCUGCUCUGGAUAAUCUUUGGCCAUUCACGCUCUGUUUAUCGCUCUCCCUGUCUCCCAAAUUCUCAUUUCCGUUUUUGUCAACCUCUAUCUGGAAACCCUAACCCAUCGAGCUAAGCGGAGAGAUGCUGAGAGACUGAGAUCUCUGUUGCGGGCUUCACAUGCUCACGAAGAGCAUUAUCCCUGCGGCUUGCUUCAAGGCAACUGAGGAAUCGCAUCCCACUUCCUCGGCAACGGCGGUUGCAGUUACAAAGGUCCAAUCAUCAUCUUUUCAAGCGUCUUCAUUGUCGAUUGGGUUCAUGGAAAAGGAUCAUGGGAACAAAUUAUUUUGGUCUGAUUUGUCAGAUUCAUUUAAAGAUCGGUGGUAGUUCUCAAGAGGAAAUCAGCCUAGGGUUCAUGUCACUCUGCCUCUCUCUUAUCUUGGGAAACAACAAGUUAGGUGGGAAUUUUUACGGCGGCCCUGUCCUUUCUCUGUCCCCUUCCAUCAUGUGGUGUAGAUGAAACAAAUGAACUAUGCUUAGUGUCAACUGAUUCAGAAAAGCUCUUCUCUAAUCUCACCCCUGGAAGGAAUGUUGGAAGAUAACACUCAAAAUCAUCAGAAUGUGGAUUUUAAUUGAUCAUAGGGAGGAGAAUGAAUAACAUGCUUUUCUUCGGCUUCUGAUAAUGGAUAAAGAAGCGUGAUGGAUGACGAUUUGCUUUUGAUGGUCUGCUCUGGUGUUUGCAGUGGCGGCAGUGGCGGCAGUGGCUCUACUAGCUCAUAUUAUCAAAGUCAGAAAUUGGAAAGGCCAGUUGAACAUACCCGAUCCAGCAGCUUUUGGGUUCAGAGAAGAUGGUUUUUGGCGAAGUUAAGCAGGAAGAGUGGUAGGAGAGCCUACGAAAAGGACUCAUCUUUAUGAACACCGAUUCUAUCAUGUUAUUUCGCAUUCACUCCCUUGGUGGCUCUCUUUUUAGAUAUGAGACACGCUUUUUUCCCAACCACACACCUGCGGAAGGAAGCACCGUAGCAAUGGCCUUUGGAAAAGGGUCAAAAAAGGCGGCUAUUACACACAAUCCAAAGUUACAGAGGAAGGACAACCCUGUAGAUUUGGAAAAUGAUAAAAAAAAUUGGUCAAAAACAGCGGCAAAAGUACACAGAGGGAGGACAGUUGCUGUUUUGUUAGAAAAACAAUUACUAUUUAAUAAAUUAAUGUUAAUAUCUACUGCAAUCUUUUUAAUUAAUUUCCUAUGGCAUCUGACCACCUAGUAGCCGUCAGUUUUUGCCUCCCAAAUCUUGACCUCACCUGUCAAAUAAUAUAUGGAGGAAAUAUAUUGGAAUCAUCUAUAAAAAAAGAUUAAAUAA